rnacentral:rRNA from 1 species
GACGAACGCUGGCGGCGUGCUUAACACAUGCAAGUCGAGCGGUAAGGCCUUUCGGGGUACACGAGCGGCGCACGGGUGAGUAACACGUGGGUGAUCUGCCCUGCACUUCGGGAUAAGCCUGGGAAACUGGGUCUAAUACCGGAUAUGACCUCCUAUCGCAUGGUGGGUGGGGGAAAGAUUUAUCGGUGCAGGAUGGGCCCGCGGCCUAUCAGCUUGUUGGUGGGGUAAUGGCCUACCAAGGCGACGACGGGUAGCCGACCUGAGAGGGUGACCGGCCACACUGGGACUGAGACACGGCCCAGACUCCUACGGGAGGCAGCAGUGGGGAAUAUUGCACAAUGGGCGAAAGCCUGAUGCAGCGACGCCGCGUGAGGGAUGACGGCCUUCGGGUUGUAAACCUCUUUCAGCAGGGACGAAGCGCAAGUGACGGUACCUGCAGAAGAAGCACCGGCUAACUACGUG